UACAGAGGUCCCAAGCGUUGUUCGGAUUCAUUGGGCGUAAAGGGUGCGUAGGCGGCGCGGUAAGUCGGGCGUGAAAUCUCGGGGCUUAACUCCGAAACUGCAUUCGAUACUGCCGUGCUUGAGGACUGGAGAGGAGACUGGAAUUUACGGUGUAGCGGUGAAAUGCGUAGAUAUCGUAAGGAAGACCAGUGGCGAAGGCGGGUCUCGUGGACAGUUCCUGACGCUGAGGCACGAAGGCCAGGGGAGCAAACGGG
rnacentral:rRNA from 1 species